GAUGAACGCUAGCGGCAGGCUUAAUACAUGCAAGUCGAGGGGCAGCAUGAGUGUAGCAAUACAUUUGAUGGCGACCGGCAAACGGGUGCGGAACACGUACACAACCUUCCUAUAAGUGGGGAAUAGCCCAGAGAAAUUUGGAUUAAUACCCCGUAACAUAAUGAUGUGGCAUCAAAUUAUUAUUAUAGCUACGGCGCUUAUUGAUGGGUGUGCGGCUGAUUAGAUAGUUGGCGGGGUAACGGCCCACCAAGUCUACGAUCAGUAGCUGAUGUGAGAGCAUGAUCAGCCACACGGGCACUGAGACACGGGCCCGACUCCUACGGGAGGCAGCAGUAAGGAAUAUUGGUCAAUGGACGCAAGUCUGAACCAGCCAUGCCGCGUGAAGGAUUAAGGUCCUCUGGAUUGUAAACUUCUUUUAUCUGGGACGAAAAAAGGCUAUUCUUAGUCACUUGACGGUACCAGAUGAAUAAGCACCGGCUAACUCCGUGCCAGCAGCCGCCGCAGUAA
rnacentral:rRNA from 1 species